rnacentral:rRNA from 1 species
CCCUUAGAUGUUCUGGGCAGCACGCGCGCUACAAUGGUCUUCGCAAACGGAUGCAUUCUCGAAGGAGAAUGCCAAUCUUGGAAUCUAUGCCUUGGUCGGGACAGUUGCUUGCAAUUUUUCGACUCGAACCAGGAAUUCCUUGUAAUCGUGAUUCAUCACAUCACGAUGAAUACGUCCCUGCCCUUUAUACACACCGCCCGUCGCUCCUACCGAUCGAAGAGUUAGGUGAAUUGUUUUGAUCGAUAAGAUUUGACUAUGGUCAACUCUCGUUGUGAAAUUCUGUGAAUCUGACUGUUUAGAGGAAGGAAAAGUCGUAACA